CAGCCUCCUGGGAUAACACUGACGCUCAUGCACGAAAGCGUGGGAGCAAACAGGAUUAGAUACCCUGGUAGUCCACGCCCUAAACGAUGUCAACUAGCUGUUGGGGCCUUCGGGCCUUGGUAGCGCAGCUAACGCGUGAAGUUGACCGCCUGGGGAGUACGGUCGCAAGAUUAAAACUCAAAGAAUUGACGGGACCCGCACAAGCGGUGGAUGAUGUGGAUUACCCGAUGCAACGCGAAAAACCUUACCUACCCUUGACAUGUCUGGAAUCCCGAAGAGAUUUGGGAGUGCUCGCAAGAGAACCGGAACACAGGUGCUGCAUGGCUGUCGCCGCUCGCCGUGAGAUGUUGGGUUAAGUCCCGCAACGAGCGCAACCUUGUCAUUAGUUGCUUACGUGAAAGGCACUCUAAUGAGACUGCCGGUGACAAACCGGAGGAAGGUGGGGAUGACGUCAAGUCCUCAUGGCCCUGGCGGUAGGGCUUCACACGUCAUACAAUGGUCGGGCUGCAGAGGUCGCCACCCGCGAGGGGGGAGCCAAUCCCAGAAACCGAUCGUAGUCCGAUCGUGUCUGCAACUCGACUGCGUGAAGUCGGAAUCGCUAGUAAUCGCGGAUCAGCAUGUCGCGGUGAAUACGUUCCGGGUCUUGUACACACCGCCCGUCACACCAUGGGAGUGGGUUUUACCAUAGUUAGCCUAACCGUAAGGAGGGCGAUUACCACGGUAGGAUUCAUGACUGGGGUGAAGUCGUAACAAGGUAA
rnacentral:misc_RNA from 1 species